rnacentral:rRNA from 1 species
GAUGAACGCUGGCGGCGUGCCUAAUACAUGCAAGUCGAACGAACAGAUAAUGAGCUUGCUCCUUGGACGUUAGCGGAGCGGGGGUGAGUAACACGUGUGUAACCUACCUAUAAUAGGGGUAUAACUCCGGGAAACGGGGGCUAAUGCCGGAUAACAUUUAGCACCGCAUUGUUCUAUAGAGAAAUAUGGUUUUGCUAGAACUUAUCGCUGGACACGCGCCGUAUUGGAUAGUUGGUAAGGUCACGGCUUACCAAGGCAACGAUACGUAGCCGAACUGAGAGGGUGAUAGGCCACACGGGAGGGGAAACGGGGACCAGACGCCUGCGAGAGGCAGCAGAAGGGAAUCUGCCGCAACGGGCGAAAGCCUGACGGAGUGGCGCGGAGUGAGUGGUAACGGUGUCCGGAGCGUAAAACUGUGUUAUUAGGGAAGAACAAAUGUGUAAGUAACUGUGCAGGUCUUGACGGUACCGAGUCAGAAAGCCACGGCUAACUACGUG